GACGAACGCUGGCGGCGUGCUUAACACAUGCAAGUCGAACGAUGAAGCGGUACUUGUACCGUGGAUUAGUGGCGAACGGGUGAGUAACACGUGAGUAACCUGCCCUUCACUCUGGGAUAACUCCGGGAAACCGGUGCCAAUACUGGAUAUGACUAUCUCCCGCAUGGGAUGGUGGUGGAAAGUUUUUCGGUGGAGGAUGGACUCGCGGCCUAUCAGCUUGUUGGUGGGGUAAUGGCCUACCAAGGCGACGACGGGUAGCCGGCCUGAGAGGGCGACCGGCCACACUGGGACUGAGACACGGCCCAGACUCCUACGGGAGGCAGCAGUGGGGAAUAUUGCACAAUGGGCGCAAGCCUGAUGCAGCGACGCCGCGUGAGGGAUGACGGCCUUCGGGUUGUAAACCUCUUUCAGCUCUGAAGAAGCGAAAGUGACGGUAGGAGCAGAAGAAGCACCGGCUAACUGCGUGCCAGCCGCCGCCGUAAGAC
rnacentral:rRNA from 1 species